AGGGUCUGUUGGGGCGUGAGGAGUGGGGACCCGCAGCCCCGCAGCACUGCUCCAGCAGCAGAAUUUUAUGGAUGUGCAGCACAAAAGGAAGAAAAGGACGGAUGGGAGGAAAAGGCUUUAUGCACUGCAGCAGGGCUGUGUUUUUGUGUGGUGUAUGCAUACGUGUGUGCCCGUGUGCAGGCAUUCAUGUGGAUGCUCUGCACAGCCACGUAAGCUGAGUUGCCCCCAUGGAUUAAACACACGGAUAUCCUCUGCUUCACGGAAAACAACCCAACAAUUUAUGUGCCAGGGGUGCUAAAGCACGAGGUGCUACCAUCCUGCUGCUAACCACUCCUGGGGAACAGGCCCUGCAAACCCAAGGUGACACGUGUGACACUGAUCACUCGGAACCACAGGACACCUCUGAGGAGUUGAUCUGCACUGCUCGCUACCUCGACUGCUCCAGUGUCCCUCUGCCUCACAGGGACACAGAAAAAAAUAAAAUGAUUUGAGUGUUUU
rnacentral:lncRNA from 1 species